rnacentral:pre_miRNA from 1 species
AGGUUGUGCACUGCUCAGGUCCAGGGAGCUAUCAUUGACAUGGGCUACAAAAUCAAUGACAGCCCUUGGAUUGUGCAGGACACAACCU